AUACGGAGGGUGCGAGCGUUAUCCGGAUUUAUUAGGUUUAAAGGGUGUGUGGGCGGGAGCCUAAGUCAGUGGUGAAAUCUCACAGCUUAACUGUGAAACUGCCAUUGAAACUGGGUUUCUUGAGUAUAGUUGAGGUAGGCGGAAUGUGUAAUGUAGCGGUGAAAUGCAUAGAUAUUACACAGAACACCGAUUGCGAAGGCAGCUUACUAAGCUAUUACUGACGCUGAUGCACGAAAGCGUGGGUAGCGAACAGGAUUAGAUACCCGUGUAGUCC
rnacentral:rRNA from 1 species